GCGGUCUGAGUGACCGCUUGAUAUUGGCACACUUGAGGCGGUGGGUUCGACUCCCACCCUCGCUCCGGUUGUACUUUCCCUUCUUUGUGAUGUAAAUUCUUUCAUGUGUUGUUUAUAUGUCUAAUAAAAAAUAUAUAUCAUGCGUAAGGGAGGCAAAACACUCAGAUUGUAGUCCUCAUCAAAAACAGAAAGAUGUUGUCUUCGUGCUUCGUCGCCAUGUGAUUCUAAUGUCUGGAUUCAAAAUAUUAAACAAUCCUUGCUUUAAAGUUUGAUCCAGUUUGCACAAUUGGAUGAAAAAUAACUUCUGGAUCAAGAAGUGUUUCAUCGGAAUUUAUUUAGAGGGCAAUAUUUUGGAUAAGUUACUGAACUAAAGGAUCCAAAAGGAAUAAAGAUUUGGAAAAAGUGAUUCAACCAAGUUUUGAAAAAUUUGACCAUAAUUUCUCUUCUGAAAAAGUUUAUUUGUAAUUAUGUUGUUAUUUAACUUGUAAUUAGUGUAAAAUAAACCUUUUUGAUGUUUUAAACUCUUUGUUUUCAUUGUUGACACUUCUGGAUA